rnacentral:misc_RNA from 1 species
AACCAUUCUCACCUGCGGCUAGACCUGCGGAAGGAUCAUUACAGAGUGUAAAAACUCCCAAAACCCAUGUGAACAUACCUUUUUGUUGCUUCGGCGGGAUCGCCCCGGGCGCCUUGUGUGCCCCGGAGUCAGGCGCCCGCCGGGGGACCCAAACUCUUGUUUUUAACGAGUAUCUUCUGAGUAACGUUUUUAAAUAAAUAAAAACUUUUAACAACGGAUCU